AUUGAACGCUGGCGGCAGGCCUAACACAUGCAAGUCGAGCGAGUGGCGGACGGGUGAGUAAUGUCUGGGGAACUGCCUGAUGGAGGGGGAUAACUACUGGAAACGGUAGCUAAUACCGCAUACCAUCAGAUGUACCCAUAUGGGCGUAGCUUGUGGGUGGGGUAACGGCUCACCUAGGCGACGAUCCCUAGCUGGUCUGAGAGGAUGACCAGCCACACUGGGACUGAGACACGGACCAGACUCCUACGGGAGGCAGCAGUGGGGAAUAUUGCACAAUGGGCGCAAGCCUGAUGCAGCCAUGCCGCGUGGAUGAAGAAGGCCUUCGGGUUGUAAAGUACUUUCAGGGGGGAGGCGUUACCGACAGAAGAAGCACCGGCUAACUCCGUGCCAGCAGCCGCGGUAAUAC
rnacentral:rRNA from 1 species